GAUGAACGCUAGCGACAGGCUUAACACAUGCAAGUCGAGGGGCAGCGGGGAGGUAGCAAUACUUCCGCCGGCGACCGGCGCACGGGUGAGUAACACGUAUGGAACCUGCCCGUAGCAGGGGGAUAAGCGGAAGAAAUUCCGUCUAAUACCGCGUAAUAACUCCGAGAGGCAUCUCAUGGAGUUUAAAGGGUAACACCGGCUACGGAUGGCCAUGCGGCGCAUUAGCUAGUUGGCGGGGUAACGGCUCACCAAGGCGACGAUGCGUAGGGGUUCUGAGAGGAAGGUCCCCCACACUGGUACUGAGACACGGACCAGACUCCUACGGGAGGCAGCAGUGAGGAAUAUUGGUCAAUGGGCGCGAGCCUGAACCAGCCAAGUCGCGUGAGGGAAGACGGUCCUAUGGAUUGUAAACCUCUUUUGUCGGGGAGCAAAAGACGCCACGUGUGGCGUUCCGAGAGUACCCGAAGAAAAAGCAUCGGCUAACUCCGUGCCAGCAGCCGCGGUAAUACGGAGGAUGCGAGCGUUAUCCGGAUUUAUUGGGUUUAAAGGGUGCGCAGGCGGAAGAUCAAGUCAGCGGUAAAAUUGAGAGGCUCAACCUCUUCGAGCCGUUGAAACUGGUUUUCUUGAGUGAGCGAGAAGUAUGCGGAAUGCGUGGUGUAGCGGUGAAAUGCAUAGAUAUCACGCAGAACUCCGAUUGCGAAGGCAGCAUACCGGCGCUCAACUGACGCUCAUGCACGAAAGUGUGGGUAUCGAACAGGAUUAGAUACCCUGGUAGUCCACACAGUAAACGAUGAAUACUAAUUGUUCGGGGAGAAUGAUCCCUGAGUGAUACAGCGAAAGCGUUAAGUAUUCCACCUGGGGAGUACGCCGGCAACGGUGAAACUCAAAGGAAUUGACGGGGGCCCGCACAAGCGGAGGAACAUGUGGUUUAAUUCGAUGAUACGCGAGGAACCUUACCCGGGCUCAAACGACACAGGAAUACUUUUGAAAGGAGGUAGCUCUUAGGAGUCUGUGUCGAGGUGCUGCAUGGUUGUCGUCAGCUCGUGCCGUGAGGUGUCGGCUUAAGUGCCAUAACGAGCGCAACCCCCAUCGCCAGUUACCAGCAAGUCAAGUUGGGGACUCUGGCGAGACUGCCGGCGCAAGCUGUGAGGAAGGCGGGGAUGACGUCAAAUCAGCACGGCCCUUACGUCCGGGGCGACACACGUGUUACAAUGGCAGGUACAGAGAGAAGCAAUGCGGCGACGCAAAGCGGAACUUGAAAGCCUGUCUCAGUUCGGAUUGGAGUCUGCAACUCGACUCCAUGAAGCUGGAUUCGCUAGUAAUCGCGCAUCAGCCAUGGCGCGGUGAAUACGUUCCCGGGCCUUGUACACACCGCCCGUCAAGCCAUGGAAGCCGGGAGUGCCUGAAGUGUGCAACCGCAAGGAGCGCCCUAAGGUAAAACUGGUGACUGGGGCU
rnacentral:rRNA from 1 species